AAUUGCGCUCUUGUAACCUAUAGAGAAAUGACAUUUUUUUUUAAUAAGGCUUUGAAAAAUAUCAAAAAUAGACAUUUUGCUCGGGGAAAAAUGUGAAACAGUGAGAAACAGGGUCAAAUGGACUUUUCAUCAACGUGAGUUCGUGCUAUAGUCUGUUUCCUAUUUGUAUUCAUUUCUAUAUCUAAAUCUAGGGUGGGCUCGAAUGUCGACAAAGUAUGAAGAGAAUGCAACGUUUUUGUGAUAUCUACUGUUUUUAUCGGAAAAAGCAUGUAUUUAUCUUGAAUUUGAAGGUAAAUUUAGGGUUUUAACCAUAAUGACCGUGUCUCAGUUGCUGUUCUAGCAAAAAGCUAAUUUCGUGAAAAUUGGCCAAAAGGGUCCUUAAGCAAAUACCAACCAUUUAGUUAAAUUGCAAAGUAGAAAAAU
rnacentral:lncRNA from 1 species